ACUUCCUGUCCAGCACUUCCUCCUAUGCACUUCCUGUCCAGCACUUCCUCCUAUGCACUUCCUGUCCAGCACUUCCUCUUAUGAACUUCCUGUCCAGCACUUCCUCUUAUGAACUUCCUCUUCCCCACACUUCCUCCUUUGGCCCUUUCUCCUCCCCACAGUUCCUCCCCCCGCACUUCCCCUCCAGCACUUCCUCCUAUGCACUUGCUUUCCUGGCACUUCCUCCUCCCUGCCUUCCUCCUUCCCACAUGGCCAGGGAGCCCAGACCCAGGGGCUGCCCUUCACAGCCCUCUGUCAGGUCCUCUUCCCCCACCCAGGAAGGCAGUCUCUUCUCUAAGCGGCCACUUUUCACAAGCAGUGUUCCUCUCAUUCUCCUCAGGGACCCCCCAGCACAAUCUAUUUUUGAGGUUCUAGGACUUUGCAAAAGAGUGAGAAGGCCUUUGGAUACCAGCUUUGGCUCUCUGCCCAUCUAAGCAUGGAAGCCCUCAUGGAAAGGGGUUGCCAGGCCUGACUGCCAGCGUGGGACAGGUGUCAUGUCAAAUUCCCACCACACAGAAUAAGACUCUAAGCAGCAGUUUUUUGGGGAAAAACAAGUAAAUGGCCUAAGAAAUUUUCCUCAAGGGCUGGAGAUGGGGAGUGAAGAACAAAUAAAUGUUUUCCUUAUUAAAAGUAGAUCACAACAGUGCUAUUUGGAACUUACGGGACCUACGAAUCUCUAGAGGGUCUCAGAAGGCAGCUCUGAAGGACACUCCUUGUAUGUGCCAUCUUUGGAAUGUUCUUUUUCUUUUCUGCCUUUGCAUGGCAUGGCCUGAAAUUCAAAGUUCUCACAAAGAGGAUCUGAUUGGCCAAGUGUUCUUGAUGUACCAGCCCUCAGCCAUGCCAGGAAGUUUUGCCAGGAAGUUAGUUGAAGGAGCUCCCGGUGAUUCCUGGAUUCGCGCUCCCCACAGGAUUGCAGGUGAUGACCGAGGGUGAUUUUCCAGGAGGGUGUUAGGAUGCUGUAAAGGAAGCAGGGGAUGAAAGUCAGGUAGACAAAGUAUGAUAAGGGUUUCCCAAGCUGGCUCACCCUUUCUCUCAUUGCAGCACACGCCCCUCGUCUGCUGGGUGGUCUGCAGUGGGUGGUGGUGUAAAGUUGUGGCCAGCCUCAGUAUGUUUCAGAGUAAAAUGUGAAUGACUCAAUUAUCUGCUAUUUUGAAUUAUUUAUGCCACCACUUCCUUCAGGUUGCACAUCCUAGAUCUGGUCAUGGAAAAGGACUGGGUUAUGGCCAUUGAGAUCAGAUGACUCUGUGCACUGGAUUUCUUUGUUUACAAACACCCCAUCAGUGUUGAUCUUAGAACUUAGAACCGGGUGUGGGAAACAUAAUAGAAUAUAUA
ensembl:lncRNA